GUUGUUGUUUAUUCAUUUUAAUUGAGGUGGGUCUCUGUAAAUGAAUGACAAAAGGGCUGUUAAUCCAACAAUAACUGUAAUGACAACUGGAAGUAUGAAGAUAUGAACAUCCACACUGACCAACCAUAGGGAAAACAUCUCAGAAAUAGAAUGUCAUGCUUUAAUGUGAUGCCUUUCAAAUUUGAUGGAUUCUGAUUGGCUAUUAGUUUUUUAUCAUUCGCACAUUCGCUAUGAAAGUGAUGCCCAAAGAAACUGUUCUUCAUUCCGUUAUCGUUAUAAUGUGUUGUUGCCAUUGUAAUAAGCUCGAGUGAUAUUUAAAACCAUAGUAUUUACAGUUAUUGUUCUAGUUGUCAUUGGCAGUGUGUACCUUUCUUGGUUGCAUGCUAUCCUUCCUCACUGCUGUCUCCUUUAGAUUUCAGAACGGGGAGGAAGUGGAUGACGACGACUGUUCCCCUUAUGCGAUGGGCCAGGGAGAGCAGGAACCAACGUACUCACUCAUUCAGCUGACCAAUCAGAAGACUGACCCUGUGUUCAGUGGGGAUGGAGAACUCGCUUCAGAUCCAUCAGCAGAUGAGGGCAUCAUGAGGAAGAACUCCAUAUAUGAAACCUCAGGUCCAUAGUCUCAACUGCCUGCCAGUUUCUUGUGUGAGUUCCUGCAUAAAGACCAAGAUUACAUGACCGGCCUGUUUAUAACCCGUAAAUAACCGCAUUAGUCCUGUUUCAGUUAAAAUGAGGAAGGAACUCUCGCUGUCACAACUUCCUGACUGAAACCUAAAAUUUCCCCAGAUUGCUUUGUUUGUGGGCUUAUCCCACAGCUGUCAUUUCAGUUAUAGAAUAUAUAAAUAUGACUAUUGUUGUGAUUUGUUGGAUAGUCAUUUCUAAUACAUUGAGCCAAUAUGCUUGAGGUUGUUCAAAUGUGUUUGCAUGUGUGGUUUGUGAAUAAGCCAAACUGAUAAAUGAACUAAUUAAACUGUAAAUUAAAAAAGUCAGUCUUGAAGGAAAGGGGGCAUUUGUUUUUGUAGUUUGACAGAUACACCCAGUUUACCAGUUAAUAUGGUGAAGCAACUCUCGGUUUCACACAGUAAGCAUUGUGUGUAGUUUUUUUAGCACUCCCAAAAUACUCUGAAAGAGUCAACUUUUCUUUUUAAAGUCACUCAUUCUCUACAUAUUUUUCUGGUCUGUACAAGUUAACUGGUAACCCUCAGUUACUGUAAAGAGAGCGAACUGUUUAUUACACUGAGGGUCUACAGAACCAAAACGAUCUACUGUCCAUUGCAAAGUAUUGCUUCCAUGUUUUUUACGGCAGUCUACUUUAGGUGACUACGUUGCUGGGCUCCCCACUAUACAUAUACAUUUCACCUUAAUGUAGAUAUUAAUAUGACUAUAAGGUAAGCUGUUUCAAAUAAAUCGAAAGAUUAGGCUACUUCA
rnacentral:lncRNA from 1 species